rnacentral:pre_miRNA from 1 species
AGUGGGUUAACUGGGUCAAAUGGUGGUUCUGUCCCAAGUUUUCUGAGGAAUCUCCAAACUGCUUUCCGGAGUGGUUGCACCAAUUUGCAAUCCCACCAGCAAU